rnacentral:lncRNA from 1 species
GAUACCAAAAUAAAUAAAUUAGGGACAAACCAACAAUCUCAAUGGGUAAACAAUUGCUUUUUGACACACACACCAAUAGCUUACCCCUUUGUUAAAUUGUUGCCUCUUUAAAAGCUUUCAAAGAAUACAAACGAGGGUACUAUUGUGUCAACACUACCAAUCCAACUUGCCAAAAGGAAACAAAUAUAUCAUUGCCAAGUUGCUUAGACACAAACCCUCUAAACCACACAACUUGAAGGUCCAAAGAAGCACCAAUUGUCCAUACACCAUUUCACCAAGAAGAAGAUAAAGGAAAUAUUGAUUCCCUAGAGAUUUGGAAUAUGUCCGAUCUUAGCUUUAUGAAAAAAAAAAUUAUCAAGAAAUGUAAGCAUGAAUUUGGAUACUAGUUAUUGUGAAUUCGAACCCUUGUUUAACACCAACAAGAAUAACGAGUGAAGCAAAUAAUAAUGACUAUCAAAUUAAAAAGUUCAAACAAAUAGAGAUUCAAAAUGGAACAAAUCUUGACCCUAUCUCUAAAGAAAAACAACAUAAUCAAUCCAAAAAACAAGAUAAAGAGAUUAUAGAUACAAAUACAUUAAGAUUGGGAGCGAGAGCGACUCUCCGAUCCAAUUUAUUUCCAAUUGCUCACCAGUAACAAUGCCCAAUUUCUCUCAUAUUUUCUCUCACUUGAUAUAUUUCACUCAAGAACUCACUAUAGAAAUCUUUGAUCCUUACUCCAAUGAUUUCAAGCUACCCAAAGUGUUUACAAUGUGUUUGCAAAAAAUAAAAGUGUUUCCCUACCAUAGAAUCUUAUCUAUAAGCCCUUAACCCCCUAUCCCUUUCUGUUAUACCUACAAGAUCGAGCUUUCAUAAGUACUAUAAAGACAAAGUUCAAAAUAAACUUCUCAAAAGACAUAAUCCAUAUAAACAAGUCUAGACAUUUAAGACAUCAUUCAAUCCAUUGUUAUGAUAGUCAUUAGGGCCGGUUUUGGGCCAAGGCAACCAGGCCUCAAGCCCAGGGCCUCCAAAAUAUUGGGGCCUCAAUUUUUAUUUUUUUUGGCCCAUCAUAAACAUAAUUGAUUAAGUAUCUUUUGUAACACAAGACAACAAGUAAAUUAGUCUGCUCCAAUGGUAGUGCGCACAGUGAUUAGUAAACCUGGAUGGAGAGGUCGCUAGUUCGACCGUCUCCCAAUUAUAGUUUUGUUUUCUUAUUUUGUUUUUUUCUUUUGGUAAGUAUUUGUUUAUUUUUUUUAUAUUUUAUUUUAAGAGCCUAUUUAUUAUUAAAAAAAUUAAGGAAUUAAGUGUGGGAAAUUGAAUCCAUU